rnacentral:lncRNA from 1 species
GGGAAGAAAUUUGACUCCUCUCGGGACAGAAACAAGCCUUUUAAGUUUACACUAGGCAAGCAGGAGGUGAUCCGAGGCUGGGAAGAAGGGGUAGCCCAGAUGAGUGUGGGCCAGAGAGCCAAACUGAUAAUCUCCCCAGACUAUGCCUAUGGAGCCACCGGGCACCCAGGCAUCAUCCCACCACAUGCUACUCUUGUUUUUGAUGUGGAGCUUCUAAAACUGGAAUGACAGAAGUGGCCUCCUCCCUUAGCUCUGCACAUGGGUAAGAGUACUUAAUGCUGAAGGACUCUAAUUACCUUCCUUGCUCCCUUGAUAGGUCCAGUGUGUCAUGUCCCCACCCCCAACCCCCGUGUUAGUGUCAGUGUCAGUGUAAGAGUUGACCAUUCCAAGAACAGGAUAGCAUGUGUAUUAAAGGAGCUUGUGGGAAUGGCAGCUGUUAAAACUUUUUAUAUGUAGCUUAUUGAGUUGAAGUCUGUGGAACCACAGGCCAAAUAACAACUCUUUCUGGAUUGGUUCUGACCUGUGCUUCUAAAAGCUAAUAAGAAAAGUACCUUUAGAAGAGCAGCACGUCAGCUUGAGCUGCCUUAGGAAGAACCUUCGCCUAAGGUCAGACAGUUCUAGGAAGAAACUGUAGGAGCCUGAGUUGUUCUUUCUAGUGAAGGAAACUGGGCCUGGUCACAUCCAUAUGGUGGCAAAGAAGAACUGAAGCCUGUUUCCUCUUCUUUCAUUCUUAGAACAUUAAGCUCAGUAUCCUAGUGGCAUGGCCUUAUUCUUGUGGCUAUUAGACUCUCUUCACACAUGAAUGUCACCCUUAAAACUGACCCAGACUUUCCUGAUUGUUCUACCCCUGGAAUCCAGAGGCCACAACCAGGGGCUGGGUGAGGAUGCUUUUGUUAGAAACCUGAAGCCAAUUUGGAUUCUAGUGAUCACUGUGAUAACAGCAUGGGGGUGGUAGGGGCAGCCUCCUCCUGUCCUUAGCAUGCUAAACUUAAUGUUAGGUUAACACAAGACAUAUGAACCACAUGUGGCAAAUUGAGCAUAAGAAAGUUGCUUGCCUGAAAACCUGGGCAAUCCAUCUGCUUUCUCCAGCUGUAAGAAUUGGCCUGGUCCCAAAAGACCUCAGCUGCUCAGGACAGGACUUGGCAUGACAGAUAAUAUUGUGACUGUCCACACAGAGAACAGAGUUGCUGGAACUUACAGAUUUUCUGUCCCCAACAG